rnacentral:rRNA from 1 species
CAGUAGCCGCGGUAAUAUGGAGGGAGCUAGCGUUGUUCGGAAUUACUGGGCGUAAAGCGCGCGUAGGCGGUUACUCAAGUCAGAGGUGAAAGCCCGAGGCUCAACCCCGGAACUGCCUUUGAAACUAGGUAACUAGAAUCUUGGAGAGGUCAGUGGAAUUCCGAGUGUAGAGGUGAAAUUCGUAGAUAUUCGGAAGAACACCAGUGGCGAAGGCGACUGACUGGACAAGUAUUGACGCUGAGGUACGAAAGCGUGGGGAGCAAACAGGAUUAGAUACCCCCGUAGUCCCUGUCUCUUAUAC